CGGGGUGAGUAAUGCUUGGGAAUCUAGCUUAUGGAGGGAGGAAUAAUGGGAAACUGUAGCUAAUACCGCGUAGAAUCGGGAGAUGAAAGUGUGGGACCUUCGGGCCACAUGCCAUAGGAUGAGCCCAAGUGGGAUUAGGUAGUUGGUGAGGUAAAGGCUCACCAAGCCGACGAUCUCUAGCUGGUCUGAGGGGAUGACCAGCCACACUGGGACUGAGACACGGCCCAG
rnacentral:rRNA from 1 species